rnacentral:rRNA from 1 species
UACGAAGGUCCCGAGCGUUAUCCGGAUUCAUUGGGUUUAAAGGGUGCGUAGGUGGAUUGAUAAGUCAGUGGUGAAAGCCUGAUGCUUAACAUCAGAACUGCCAUUGAUACUGUUAAUCUUGAGUACAUUUGAAGUGGGCGGAAUGUGUCAUGUAGCGGUGAAAUGCUUAGAUAUGACACAGAACACCGAUUGCGAAGGCAGCUCACUAAACUGUAACUGACACUGAGGCACGAAAGCGUGGGGAUCAAACAGG